rnacentral:sRNA from 1 species
GUGGAUCAACAGACUUGAACUAGAAUAGAUGGAGGUGCUGGGAUCAGUCAAAAUAGCAGCAUGGAAAAGUUUACUCCCUUAGCAUCGCCUCUCUAACCACUUCGGAUGGUAUUAUCUUCUCGCUUAUCGAUCAGAUGAACGGAUAAAACAUAAAAUUUAGGCGAAGAGCGAGGGAAAGGUGCAGAACUAUUAGUUUUUUCGUUCAUAAUUGACUGCCCCACCUUUGCUCAGCAUUCCAUCACCUCUUAUCGGCGACCUUAUCUCCCCACACUCCGUCCCGUCAAUCGCAUUAUAUCAGCUAUCUCAGCGAGUCGAUUAAGAAUUGUUUCUGACAAGUGCAAAUUUGCCCACUUCCCCUGCUCCAACCUAUAAAAUAUGAAUACAAAGUCUCCACACGCACACACACUCUCUCUCUCAAGUCUCAGUCGCUCAAGGCCGCAACGCUACGGCGGGCGUAUGCGCGAAGGUUCCGCGAUCGAUUCUCAUACGCUACUAGUGGGCUAAGUUGAGUUCCGCCAUGCCGCGAUCGACCCUGAUCGGGUACCAAUGAAAAUAGUUCGAAAGCGAAUGUUUGAUUCUUUGUCCUCGCGAGGAGAGACAUAUGCAUACCACCUACUAGUGGUUAUUAAAAAAUCCGGUCCAAAUCCAAUAAUAGCAACAGCAAGAGUUUAAUGAGAACAGUUAGAGGGAGCACAGGAAAAAUAUUCCUUUUUGAGAAGACAUGAAACAGGACAUUGUUUCUCCGUCCCUCUCCAUCCCUCUCUUCUUUGAGACAUCACGGAAAUAUGAAUAACACGAAUUUCUACCAACUUGG